rnacentral:rRNA from 1 species
AGAAUCAACGCUGGCGGCGUGCCUAACACAUGCAAGUCGAACGAGAAAGUGGAGCAAUCCAUGAGUAAAGUGGCGCACGGGUGAGUAACACGUGACUAACCUACCCUUGAGUGGGGGAUAACCUAGAGAAAUCUGGGCUAAUACCGCAUAAUACCUUCGGGUCAAAGGAGCAAUUCGCUUAAGGAGGGGGUCGCGGCCGAUUAGUUAGUUGGCGGGGUAAUGGCCCACCAAGACUAUGAUCGGUAUCCGGCCUGAGAGGGCGCACGGACACACUGGAACUGAAACACGGUCCAGACUCCUACGGGAGGCAGCAGUGGGGAAUUUGCGCAAUGGGGGAAACCCUGACGCAGCAACGCCGCGUGGAGGAUGAAGUCCCUUGGGACGUAAACUCCUUUCGAUCGGGACGAUAAUGACGGUACCGAGAGAAGAAGCCCCGGCUAACUUCGUGCCAGCCAGCCGC